ACGGGUGCGUAACGCGUGGGAAUCUGCCCUUGGGUUCGGAAUAACGUCGGGAAACUGACGCUAAUACCGGAUGAUGACGUAAGUCCAAAGAUUUAUCGCCCAAGGAUGAGCCCGCGUAGGAUUAGCUAGUUGGUGGGGUAAAGGCCCACCAAGGCGACGAUCCUUAGCUGGUCUGAGAGGAUGAUCAGCCACACUGGGACUGAGACACGGCCCAGACUCCUACGGGAGGCAGCAGUAGGGAAUAUUGGACAAUGGGGGCAACCCUGAUCCAGCAAUGCCGCGUGAGUGAUGAAGGCCUUAGGGUUGUAAAGCUCUUUUACCCGGGAUGAUAAUGACAGUACCGGGAGAAUAAGCCCCGGCUAACUCCGUGCCAGCAGCCGCGGUUAUACGGAGGGGGCUAGCGUUGUUCGGAAUUACUGGGCGUAAAGCGCACGUAGGCGGCGAUUUAAGUCAGAGGUGAAAGCCCGGGGCUCAACCCCGGAAUAGCCUUUGAGACUGGAUUGCUUGAACAUCGGAGAGGUGAGUGGAAUUCCGAGUGUAGAGGUGAAAUUCGUAGA
rnacentral:rRNA from 1 species